UACAGAGGGUGCGAGCGUUAAUCGGAAUUACUGGGCGUAAAGCGUGCGUAGGCGGUUUCUUAAGUCCGUUGUGAAAGCCCUGGGCUCAACCUGGGAACUGCGAUGGAUACUGAGGAGCUGGAGUACGGUAGAGGAAGGUGGAAUUCCCGGUGUAGCGGUGAAAUGCGUAGAUAUCAGGAGGAACACCAGUGGCGAAGGCGGCUCACUGGCCCGAUACUGACGCUGAGGUGCGAAAGCGUGGGGAGCAAACAGG
rnacentral:rRNA from 1 species